AUUGAACGCUGGCGGCAUGCCUUACACAUGCAAGUCGAACGGCAGCACGGGUGCUUGCACCUGGUGGCGAGUGGCGAACGGGUGAGUAAUACAUCGGAACAUGUUCUGUCGUGGGGGAUAGCCCGGCGAAAGGCGGAUUAAUACCGCAUACGAACUACGGAUGAAAGCGGGGGCCCUUCGGGCCUCGCGCUAUAGGGUUGGCCGAUGUCUGAUUAGCUAGUUGGUGGGGUAAAGGCCUACCGAGGCGACGAUCAGUAGCUGGUCUGAGAGGACGACCAGCCAGACGGGGACUGAGAAACGGCCCAGACUCCGACGGGAGGAAGCAGUGGGGAAUUUUGGACAAUGGGGGAAAGCCUGAUCCAGCAAUGCCGCGUGUGUGAAGAAGGCCUUCGGGUUGUAAAGCACUUUUGUCCGGAAAGAAAUCCAGGGCCCUAAUACGGUCGGGGGAUGACGGUACCGGAAGAAUAAGCACCGGCUAACUACGUG
rnacentral:rRNA from 1 species